rnacentral:rRNA from 1 species
AUACGUAGGGUGCAAGCGUUAAUCGGAAUUACUGGGCGUAAAGCGUGCGCAGGCGGUUUUGUAAGACAGUGGUGAAAUCCCCGGGCUCAACCUGGGAACUGCCAUUGUGACUGCAAGGCUGGAGUGCGGCAGAGGGGGAUGGAAUUCCGCGUGUAGCAGUGAAAGGCGUAGAUAUGCGGAGGAACACCGAUGGCGAAGGCAAUCCCCUGGACCUGCACUGACGCUCAUGCACGAAAGCGUGGGGAGCAAACAGGAUUAGAUACCCUGGUAGUCCACGCCCUAAACGAUGUCAACUGGUUGUUGGGGAUUUAUUUUCUCAGUAACGAAGCUAACGCGUGAAGUUGACCGCCUGGGGAGUACGGCCGCAAGGUUAAAACUCAAAUGAAUUGACGGGG